rnacentral:rRNA from 1 species
UACCAGCACCCCGAGUGGUCGGGACGAUUAUUGGGCCUAAAGCAUCCGUAGCCGGUUCUACAAGUCUUCCGUUAAAUCCAUCUGCUUAACAGAUGGGCUGCGGAAGAUACUAUAGAGCUAGGAGGCGGGAGAGGCAAGCGGUACUCGAUGGGUAGGGGUAAAAUCCGUUGAUCCAUUGAAGACCACCAGUGGCGAAGGCGGCUUGCCAGAACGCGCUCGACGGUGAGGGAUGAAAGCUGGGGGAGCAAACCGG